rnacentral:rRNA from 1 species
CGUCUAUAUACGUAUAGCAUAUCAAUAAGCGGAGGAAAAGAAACUAACUAGGAUUCCCUCAGUAACGGCGAGUGAAGCGGGAAGAGCUCAAAUUUGAAAUCUUCAAGGUUCUACCUUGACGAAUUGUAGUUUAAAGAAGUGUUUUCUGUUGGAGUUUUGGUAAAAGUUCUUUGGAAUAGGACAUCAUAGAGGGUGAGAAUCCCGUAUUUGACCAUUAUUUCCAACUUUGUGAUACACUUUCAAAGAGUCGGAUUGUUUGGGAAUGCAGUCCAAAAUGGGUGGUAAAUUUCAUCUAAAGCUAAAUACUGGCGAGAGACCGAUAGCGAACAAGUACCGUGAGGGAAAGAUGAAAAGAACUUUGAAAAGAGAGUUAAACAGUACGUGAAAUUGUCAAAAGGGAAGCGUUUGACACCAGUGUUGUUUUCUCGAAAAUCAAUUAAAAAUGGUAGGAUUUUGUGUUGUAUUGACUUUAUCAGCUUUCUGCACUUUUUUCUUGUCUUUUUUAAUGCACUUUUCGUUUAACAAGUCAACAUCAACUUCUUUUGCUGUAAAAGGGUCAUUGGAAGGUGGCUUUCAUUUUCGGUAGAAAGUGUUUAUAGCCUUUGACUUCUGCAGUCGGAGAGAUUGAGGUCUGCAGCGUAGAUCCUUCGGGGUUAGAUGACAUUUGUGCUAAGUUAUAGCUUUUCAUAGACAACAUGUUGACUAUGAUUAAGUCAUGUAGCUUACUCGCUUAUGCUAUUUUACCUACGCUUAGGAUGUUGAUCUGUAGUGCGUGCGC